rnacentral:tRNA from 1 species
GGGGCUAUAGCUCAGCUGGGAGAGCGCCUGCCUUGCACGCAGGAGGUCUGCGGUUCGAUCCCGCAUAGUUCCACCA